AUGAAACCUUCUGCGUCGACUCCAAGUGCGCCUACUUCUACGGCUAUGGCGGGGGCUCCACCACGAGCGGCCUCCUCUCCACCGAGACAUUCACCUUCGCCGACGACGCCCCAGGCAGCCGCGGCGACCGCACGACGCGCGUGCCCGACGUCAACUUCGGCUGUGGCACGACCUUUGUCGGCUCCUUCAUCGGGGACGGCCUCGUCGGCCUCGGCAACACCAACCUCUCCCUCGUCACGCAGCUCGGCACGCACGCCUCGCUCGGCCGGAGGUUCUCCUACUGCCUCGUGCCCUACUCCGUCAACGGCUCCUCCCUGCUCAACUUCGGCGCCCGCGCCACCGUGA
rnacentral:rRNA from 1 species